UACGGAGGGCGCGAGCGUUAUCCGGAAUCACUGGGCGUAAAGGGCGCGUAGGCGGCCCUGGUAAGUCUGCGGUGAAAGCCCGGGGCUCAACCCCGGGUCGGCCGCGGGUACUGCCGGGCUGGAGUGCCGUAGGGGCAGGCGGAAUUCCGGGUGUAGCGGUGGAAUGCGUAGAGAUCCGGAAGAACACCGGUGGCGAAGGCGGCCUGCUGGGCGGCGACUGACGCUGAGGCGCGACAGCGUGGGGAGCAAACAGG
rnacentral:rRNA from 1 species